UACGUAGGGUGCAAGCGUUGUCCGGAAUUAUUGGGCGUAAAGAGCUCGUAGGCGGUUUGUCGCGUCGAAUGUGAAAACCCGGGGCUCAACCCCGGGCCUGCAUUCGAUACGGGCAGACUAGAGUUCGGUAGGGGGAGUCUGGGAAUUCCUGGUGUAGCGGUGAAAUGCGCAGAUAUCAGGAGGAACACCGGUGGCGAAGGCGGGACUCUGGGCCGAUACUGACGCUGAGGAGCGAAAGCGUGGGGAGCAAACAGG
rnacentral:rRNA from 1 species